UACGUAGGGUGCAAGCGUUAAUCGGAAUUACUGGGCGUAAAGCGUGCGCAGGCGGUUUUGUAAGUCUGACGUGAAAUCCCCGGGCUCAACCUGGGAAUUGCGUUGGAGACUGCAAGGCUAGAAUCUGGCAGAGGGGGGUAGAAUUCCACGUGUAGCAGUGAAAUGCGUAGAGAUGUGGAGGAACACCGAUGGCGAAGGCAGCCCCCUGGGUCUAGAUUGACGCUCAUGCACGAACGCGUGGGGAGCAAACAGG
rnacentral:rRNA from 1 species